UUUUGAAUAUAAGAGUUCACUAAGUUCAAAUCAACUCGUUGACUUGACAUGCGCUGACAAGUUCUUCCAUAUCAUGGUGUUUCUGUGACUUAUCUGUAAUGACCUCCGAGAUAAGAAGGUCUAGCUCUUUCCGAUCAAUCACGUCGAAACACCCAAAGUGGCGAUGUCUAAAUACCUUCAAUUUCAACACACUGGAUUUUAACCAAGAAGCAAUAGGUCCCAUGUUUUCCUCAUCGUAACACAUAGGAACCUCAGUUUUGGACCAUGCCUCAACAUGUCGUUCGAUGAAAGAACAUUGACAGAAUCUUUUCUCUUGAGAAUAAAGCAUUCGAACCCCGCAACUGAUAACAUUAGAACAAACUAAACGAUAACCGUUCAUAUCUUCAGGGUAGAAUUCCAC
rnacentral:misc_RNA from 1 species